rnacentral:tRNA from 1 species
GCGGACGUGGCGAAAUUGGCAGACGCACCAGAUUUAGGUUCUGGCGCCGAGAGGUGUGAGAGUUCGAGUCUCUCCGUCCGCACCA